rnacentral:rRNA from 1 species
AUUGAACGCUGGCGGCAGGCCUAACACAUGCAAGUCGAGCGGAUGAAGGGAGCUUGCUCCUGGAUUCAGCGGCGGACGGGUGAGUAAUGCCUAGGAAUCUGCCUGGUAGUGGGGGAUAACGUCCGGAAACGGGCGCUAAUACCGCAUACGUCCUGAGGGAGAAAGUGGGGGAUCUUCGGACCUCACGCUAUCAGAUGAGCCUAGGUCGGAUUAGCUAGUUGGUGGGGUAAAGGCCUACCAAGGCGACGAUCCGUAACUGGUCUAAGAGGAUGAUCAGUCACACUGGAACUGAGACACGGUCCAGACUCCGACGGGAGGCAGCAGUGGGGAAUAUUGGACGAUGGGCGAAAGCCUGAUCCAGCCAUGCCGCGUGUGUGAAGAAGGUCUUCGGAUUGUAGAGCACUUUAAGUUGGGAGGAAGGGCAGUAAGUUAAUACCUUGCUGUUUUGACGUUACCAACAGAAUAAGCACCGGCUAACUUCGUG